GCUCCCGAGAAAAGGACUGUCCCAUUCGGAAGGUGGCAUGUGCUGCCUACCUGGGCAGCUGCCUUAUUUUACCCCGAUUCUGAAGGCAGCGUGAGAUGUAUCCUUCACGGCGAAGGCAAUCCCAUGAUGCAUUUCACCAGCUCAGAGUUCCAGCGCUCAGAUUUAAAAACAUGGCGGACGGAGCCGGCACUGCGAGGGAGUUUCUGUACAAAUGGAUGAACGUGGGCCGGGGAAGGUGAACUCAGACCGGCUGGAGGCAGCGUUAGCUCCCUUUAUGAAUAUAUAUAUUUUUUCUUUGAAUGUAAUAAAGUUUUCUCUCUUAACAUUA